rnacentral:sRNA from 1 species
UUUUAUAAUAAACCAUUAUAUGUAAGUAAAGUGUUCCUCUAAGUUCUAUGAACUGGUCUAGCAAAUUAAUAGAACCUAAGGAGGGGGUCAUGGGAACCCCGAUUAAUAGCCAGUUGGUCAGAACCACAGGUAAAACAACCUGGUUCUUGUGGUUGGUCUCUAAAAUGGAGGCUAGUCUUGUGAGACUCACCCCUCAACCUAUGGGAUCUGAUGCAGUCUCCAUCCAGAAUAAACAGCCAUUGGACUCUUCAAAGAAAAACGCUGUCUCCAUCAAGUACUGCUUUCGCAGGAAAGUGACCAUUUUUAAUCAGUUGAAAUUAAAGUAGCAGUUAUUUUUGAAAGAUGACAUCAAUUAUAUAAUAUAGUAAAGAGAUUUAAUUUUUAGUCCUUUGUUUCUUACUGCACAAAUUGUAUGGUGUUUGAAUAGAAUUCCCAUGAUACUGACACUUCAGCAAAUACUUGCUUGAUGGCUACCAAUCUCUAUAACUUACAUUGCACAGUACCUAGGAAUAUUCAUGUGAGUUCAUUCCUCCCUGCUCAGAUUCUUC